GUCGAACGCGCAGCAUUCUGUAGCAAUACAGGGUGUGGGCGCGUGGCGAACGGGUGCGUAACACGUGGAUAACCUUCCUUCAGGUGGGGAAUAACCCAGUGAAAAUUGGGCUAAUACCGCAUAACAUGACGAUGCCACAUGGUGUUGUCUUCAAAGCCGCAAGGCGCCAGAAGAGGGAUCCGCGGCCGAUUAGCUUGUUGGCGAGGUAAUGGCUCACCAAGGCAUUGAUCGGUAGCCGGACUGAGAGGUUGGCCGGCCACACUGGAACUGAGACACGGUCCAGACUCCUACGGGAGGCAGCAGUGGGGAAUCUUGCACAAUGGACGAAAGUCUGAUGCAGCAACGCCGCGUGGGGGAUGAAGCUUUUCGGAGUGUAAACCCCUUUCGACCCGGAAGAAUGCCCGCAAGGGUUUGACGGUACGGGUAUAAGAAGCCCCGGCUAACUACGUGCCAGCAGCCGCGGUAAUACGUAGGGGGCCAGCGUUGCUCGGAAUUACUGGGCGUAAAGGGUCCGUAGGCGGUGUGGCAAGUCGGGAGUGAAAUCUCUGGGCUUAACUCAGAGGCUGCUUCCGAAACUGCCAUGCUAGAGUGUGAGAGAGGCGAGUGGAAUUACGGGUGUAGCGGUGAAAUGCGUAGAUAUCCGUAGGAACAUCCGAGGCGAAGGCGGCUCGCUGGAUCACAACUGACGCUGAGGGACGAAAGCUAGGGGAGCAAACAGGAUUAGAUACCCUG
rnacentral:rRNA from 1 species